rnacentral:tRNA from 1 species
GCAUAUUUGACCGAGUGGUUAAGGUGGUAGAUUUGAAAUCUACUUGAUGUUUUCAGCAUAGGUUCGAAUCCUGUAAUAUGCG